rnacentral:rRNA from 1 species
UACAGAGGGUGCGAGCGUUAAUCGGAUUUACUGGGCGUAAAGGGCACGUAGGCGGUAGAAUGUGUGUGAUGUGAAAGCCCCGGGCUCAACCUGGGAAGUGCAUCGCAAACUAUUUAACUAGAGUAGAUGAGAGGGUGGCGGAAUUUCCGGUGUAGCGGUGAAAUGCGUAGAGAUCGGAAGGAACGUCAAUGGCGAAGGCAGCCACCUGGCAUCAUACUGACGCUGAGGUGCGAAAGCGUGGGGAGCGAAC